rnacentral:rRNA from 1 species
AUGCAUUGGGACUUUGGGAGGCCGGCACCGUCGUGCAAGUACGUCGCCUCCAUCCACGAGCUUAUGGGUCCCAUCACUACGCCACCUAGCCAUCACGGCGAGCAUCUUGUCGCCGUCGCACACAACCAUCAUAACACACGCACCACAGUCACGAACAUAGCAGCAGGCCAGCAGCAGCAACACAGCACGCACACCCAGCGCGAAGGGCAACACACUCACGAACAUAGCAGCAGCGGAACCACAAAACACACAUCCGGCGGUGCUGCGCGCGUGCGGCCACAAGGAGGGCUGAAGGCGUGCAUGACCUCAAGCAAGAAGUAG